rnacentral:rRNA from 1 species
AAUGGCUCAUUAAAUCAGUUAUCGUUUAUUUGAUAGUACCUACCAACUACUUGGAUAACCGUGGUAAUUCUAGAGCUAAUACAUGCUAAAAACCCCGACUUCGGGAGGGGUGUAUUUAUUAGAUAAAAAACCAAUGCCCCUCGGGGCUCCUUGGUGAUUCAUGAUAACUCAACGGAUCGCAUGGCCUUGCGCCGGCGACGGUUCAUUCAAAUUUCUGCCCUAUCAACUUUCGAUGGUAAGGUAUUGGCUUACCAUGGUUUCAACGGGUAACGGGGAAUUAGGGUUCGAUUCCGGAGAGGGAGCCUGAGAAACGGCUACCACAUCCAAGGAAGGCAGCAGGCGCGCAAAUUACCCAAUCCCGACACGGGGAGGUAGUGACCAUAAAUACUGAUACAGGGCUCUUUUGGGUCUUGUAAUCGGAAUGAGUACAAUUUAAACCCCUUAACGAGGAACAAUUGGAGGGCAAGUCUGGUGCCAGCAGCCGCGGUAAUUCCAGCUCCAAUAGCGUAUAUUAAAGUUGUUGCAGUUAAAAAGCUCGUAGUUGAACCUUGGGCCUGGCUGGCCGGUCCGCCUCACCGCGUGUACUGGUCCGGCCGGGCCUUUCCUUCUGGAGAGCCGCAUGCCCUUCACUGGGUGUGUCGGGGAACCAGGACUUUUACUUUGAAAAAAUUAGAGUGUUCAAAGCAGGCCUUUGCUCGAAUACGUUAGCAUGGAAUAAUAGAAUAGGACGUGCGGUCCUAUUUUGUUGGUUUCUAGGACCGCCGUAAUGAUUAAUAGGGAUAGUCGGGGGCAUCAGUAUUCAAUUGUCAGAGGUGAAAUUCUUGGAUUUAUUGAAGACUAACUACUGCGAAAGCAUUUGCCAAGGAUGUUUUCAUUAAUCAGUGAACGAAAGUUAGGGGAUCGAAGACGAUCAGAUACCGUCGUAGUCUUAACCGUAAACUAUGCCGACUAGGGAUCGGGCGAUGUUUCUAUCUUGACUCGCUCGGCACCU